CAGCAGCCGCGGGAAAACGAAGGGGGCUAGCGUUGUUCGGAUUUACUGGGCGUAAAGGGCGCGUAGGCGGACUGAUAAGUCAGGGGUGAAAUCCCAAGGCUCAACCUUGGAACUGCCUUUGAUACUGUUUGUCUUGAGUUCGAGAGAGGUAAGUGGAACUGCGAGUGUAGAGGUGAAAUUCGUAGAUAUUGGGAAGAACACCGGUGGCGAAGGCGGCGACCCGGUCCUUGACUGACGCUGAGGCGCGAAAGCGUGGGGAGCAAACAGGAUUAGAUACCCCCGUAGUCCCUGUCUCUUAUAC
rnacentral:rRNA from 1 species